UACAGAGGUUGCGAGCGUUAAUCGGAAUUACUGGGCGUAAAGCGCACGUAGGUGGCGACGUAAGUCGGGUGUGAAAGCCCCGGGCUCAACCUGGGAAUUGCAUUCGAGACUGCAUUGCUGGAGUACGGAAGAGGAAGGCGGAAUUCCCGGUGUAGCGGUGAAAUGCGUAGAUAUCGGGAGGAACAUCAGUGGCGAAGGCGGCCUUCUGGUCCAGUACUGACACUCAAGUGCGAAAGCGUGGGGAGCAAACAGG
rnacentral:rRNA from 1 species